AUGGAAAUACCAUGCCCCCAUCAAGGCAUUUGUGUCAUUUCGUGUACCGGCUAUAAAAUGACCGCGGCUUCCUGCGAUGAAAACCUAGCGGCCGCCUCCUCUCUCACUCGCUCCUGCAGCCGCCUCCCUCCCACACAGGUGGCUCCCACCAACCACGGCGGUAGUGGCCACGGAGGAGGGCAGCAGACCAGCGGCACCGGCGAUGGCGUCCGUGGCAGCUAUGCAAUGAACCUUGAACCAUUUUUAUUUGUAUUUAAAGGGGUUGCUUAUUUAUGCUCAAGUGGUGUUUGUGCUAGGGCGAUGGUGAUUACCUUGGCUGGAAUUAUUGUGCCUUUGAGCAAUCAAGGCACCUGUGGGUAUCAAGUUGGAUCCUCCCUCUUGUCUCUAGAAUCCUUUUUGAUCCUGUGA
rnacentral:rRNA from 1 species